rnacentral:lncRNA from 1 species
AGUGUGACUCAAACACGUGGAAAGGAGUGGUUCUUCUGAGGAAAACCAGCUGAAGUAUUACAGAAAGAGGAAAUGCUGCAGAGACCCAGCCGGAAACAGUGCUGGCCAGCUCACGCCUGACCCACCCUUAUUCUAAGCAUAGGGUCUGCCUCUGAAGAGCUAAAGACUUCCUGAAAUUUAAAAAUUAGUGCUUUUAUUUGCUUGUCCUGCUAAGACCGUAGGCAAAGGCCAUCCUCCUCCCAUUGACAGUUUAGAGUGGGCAGAAACAACCACGGUUACCCUAGAAGUAAAUCCAGAGCUGCGGGACGCUGGAGGACAAAACCAACCUUCCAGGGAAGCCGAGGAGAAGUCAUGCCUUCAAAAGGUGUCUGCCUUUUUUUUUUUCACCCUCUCUCCUCUAACCUGUUUGUAACUGGGAAAUGAAAUAGUUUUGGUUUGCAAGCUGUCGCCAGGGAGUGGAGCAAGACUUUGUAAUAAACAAGAGCAACUGCCAGAGCCCCCAGCGAGCCUCUCCAAGGCCAGACUGCCAAGAAAAGCUGGCAGUGUGACAGCAAGUUUCAUUCAGCGUGGCCGGUGGUCACUGAGGAGCGACCAUGAGGAGGAUGGCCAGAGGGGGUACCCCCCAGUCUCACCUUGGGGAAGAGUACAGCCUCCUAUUAGUGAGCUGUGUGGGCUAUUAAAAUUCCCCCAGGCUGAGUGUUUCAGGAAACACCAUAAAUAAAUAAAAUUGUCUGUGUGUGUGUGUGUGUGUGUGUGUGUGUGUGCAAUUCUCUAGAGAAAAGAUCUAGAGCUUUCACCAAAUUCCCAAGAGCCCACGACCCUUACAGCAGAAGCCAAACUCAGAAUUAGCACACACUUAGGUCUUCUGCAAAAGAACACCAAGCUCACCACUUUUAUUUCUGGAAACUGAGCCUAGGCGGUCAGCCCACUCUCCUCUUACAAAACCCCUAGGCACUUAAGAGACCACAGGGGAAAAAAAAGAACUCAACCCCUUUUCUAAUCUAAACCUAAUCCUUCUUAAACCUUGCCUGACCCGGGUUACCAGGAAUCCUGCCAGUGCCAAAUGAUACGAUGUUUAUUCAGCUCAUGUCUUAGCCCGCUGCUCCUGAGCCACAGAAAUCAAAGGGGAACAUUCAGCCACCACCUGCUGAUCAACGUGUAAACAAAGGGGUAGUCAAGACUGAGGAGGACCAGCUUUUGAGGACAAUCACUGCGUGUUGCUCCAGCUCACAUAAAGGCACGGCUCCUAAGGAACAGGCUUGAGACAUGCACAAGUGCUGUGCCAAGUAGUUCAGGAGCCUGGUACAGCUGUUCCCAAUAUGCCUUUACCUCCUGUUGCCUCUUCUAACCACAAUAGGGUGUGGAUGACAUAGUGCCCUUGCUCCCAGAAGAAACUGGGAAAGUUACAACUCAUUAACCAGUUAGGUUAGUGUUGGAACAGUGCUUGCCACAUUAUUCUGAGAAGCCUCAGAUCCGUGAGGGUGAUGUGGAGCUCAGAACACAUGGCCUGACCCCAUGUGGGGUUUUACUGGAGCAGUUGUUUUGAUCUGUCUUACAUCUGGGGGAUCUGCAAGAGAUUUCGAGGGAUGAGGGCCAGUUCCCUUGCUAAAACUUAGAAUGUUUAAAAAAAAAAAAAACUCCCUUGUACUAUUGAGCUUGGUACAUCUUUCCUUGAAAGGAGCUAAAGUGAAAUAACUUAUAGAUCCUGACAUGCAAUGAGCUGGGUUUUUUUCCAAUUUUCUUUGCUUCUUGUCUCUGAACAUAUGCCUCCUUAUAAUUCUUCCUAUAUGUGUUUGAUAGCAUUGUUCUCUGAGUAAUAGUAACCAUGAGAAGAAUAUCUAACAUUUAUUCCAUGCCUAUUGUGUGCCAUGCCACAUGCUGGGCACUUUAUGUGCCCUUAUCCUACCGGACCCCGCUGCAGCCCUGUGAGUGGAUGGUCCCUCUCUUCAGCUCUCAGGUGACACAAAAACAACAACAACAACAUCCGCAACAGCAACUUCUUCAGUUCAUUUAGUUGGUAAAUUCUGGACUCAGAACUGCAAGCUAGGCAGUAACUCAGAGGUUGAGUUGACUUGAUGUAUAAUGUCACCUUUAAUGUCUACUGAACAAGAGAUGUGUGUGUAUAAGUAAGACGUAAAUUAUUUUUUCAUCUUGAAAAGGAAUGUGCUCAAUAGAGAAAAUCUGAAGUUAAAAAAUAAAAAAACAGGAAGAAAAAA